rnacentral:lncRNA from 1 species
GAGGAGUGCUAGCCCGGUCAGAAGGGCUAGGCAGCUCCAGGUCGUACUUCGGAGGAACUCCAUACUGAACCCUUAUCAGAAGGAGUUCCUCCGGAGUCAGGGAACAUGGAAUGGCGCCCGGUGCAAAAAUCGGGCGGAGCCCAGCCCCUGAUGCGGGUUCGUCUACAGAGCAAGGGACCUGGGGGUUUGAGGCGGAAGAACUUUCGGAACUGCAGGGAGCGGAAGAGCCGGACGAUAUUUUGAGUAGCUUCGAAUGAGGGCUCCAAAGAUCUCGAAGAAGACGGAUAGGAUGAAGGGUGAGGGGUCACAGAAAACUAACUCGGAGGAAUACAAAAAUAAUGGCAAAGAAGAAGUCCCUAAGCGGUGGGAAGAAGGUUGAAGGUGCUGGAACUAACCUAGAUCGCUCUGAGGGACCGGAGGGAUGAAGACAAGGACGAUUUGGAGGGUGCCUACGGCUCGAGAAGAUACCAACUGAA